UGGGAAAAUGUCCUGCUGGUUACUUCUGCCCACCAGGGGCCUCUGAAGUGAGAACGUCAGGUCCCAGGCAGCCCCAGACGCCGUGUCCCCAGAGACAGCUGUGCGCGGAGCAGUGUCCGCCAGGAUUUUACUGCCCUGAGGGCAGUGGAGAGCCCAUUCCUUGUCCACCUCACACACUGGUGGCUGACCCUGGAGCCAAGCAGAAAGAGGACUGUGGGCCUUGCCCCCCUGGGCGCUGGUGCAAAGCAGGCACCCCGGCCACUCAGGCCUGCCCCUCUGGCCACUACUGUCCUGGAGGAAGUGAGACCCAUCUGGGGGUCCCCCGGGCCUGCCCUGAGCAUACCUACCUGGCAGCUGAAGGAGGCCAGAGUCAGGCGGAGUGCCUCCCCUGCCCCGCCGGGUACCACUGGCCGUGGCCAGGUAAGAGCCUGUCUGCAGGCUGGAUGUGGGGGCCUUGGGAAGGAGAGGGAAGAGGCUGUCAGGAGCCCCUCGGGCAACUCUUCUUAGCCUGAUGCUUUUGCCCCCAGGUCUCUCUUCCUUUGAAGACCACCCAUGUCCUCCUGGCCACUGGUGUCCAGGUGACCAGGGUGCCUUUCUCUGCCCACCUGGCACCUUUCGGUCAGAGCCGGGGGCAUCAGCACAGGAAGACUGUGAACUCUGCCCUCCCGGCUACCGCUGCCCAGACCCUGAGCUUCAGGGCCGUGCAAAUGUGUUUCCCAUGCCCUGCCGAGCUGGAUCUGAGUGCCCAGCAGGUGCUGUGGCUGAGGUCCCCUGUAGGCCCGGCUCCUACUGUGGGCCCCAGACGAGGAUGCCCCCCACUCUGCCCUGGGGGCUAUGCCUGCCCUGCCAGCUCCUCCAGCUACAGUGGCCCAGGGCAGCGGUGAGCAUCUUCCCCCCACCCCCUAAGGCCUCAACCCCAGCCCCGGAACUGCUGUCAGC
rnacentral:lncRNA from 10 species